GAACCAAAUAAAAAGAGGGGAAUCAUAAUCAGGUUUUUAAGAGUCAAGCAUUUGUUGUUCUGCAGAGAGCUACAGAGUACUUGGACGUGACUAACUUCAUAGAAGGUGUGCAGUAGUACUGGUUGAUUUCAGGAACAAUGGCAGUCUGGCCUCUUUGUCUGUCUUUCUUUCUGCUCUUUGCUCUGGAUGCUUCAGAGGCAGAACCUCUUACUGGCACAGGCGAUGGGACCUGUACCCUGGUCAGACACGGUGUGUAUACAUACAAUA